rnacentral:rRNA from 1 species
GAGAGUUUGAUCCUAGCUCAGGAUGAACGCUGGCGGCGUGUCUAAGGCAUGCAAGUCGAACGAAGCUUUUUCUUCGGAAAAAGACUGAGUGGCAAACGGGAGCGUAACACAUUGGUAACUUACCUUUAGGACAAGGACAACCCUUCGAAAGAGGGGCUAAUCCUUGAUAAUAAUGGGGGGACACAAGUCAUUCCCAUUUAAACUUGUACAUGGCACAGGGCAAUAUUGAAUGAUAAUUUCGAAUUUCUAAUUUUUAAUUUCGAAUAAAUUUUUCCGCCGAAGGCGGAUCAGCCUCAAGCUGAUAAUGAUUUAAUUUUGAAACAUCGUGUUUCAAAAUUAGAAAAUUCUAAUUUUAUUCAAAAUUCAAAAUUCAUCAUUCAAAAUUUUCGUGUGUUGUGUAUGAGGCCUAAAGAAAGGCCUAUGGUCUAUCAGCUUGUUGGUAAGGUAAUGGCUUACCAAGGCUAUGACGGAUAGCGGGUGUGAGAGCACGACCCGCCUCACCGGGACUGAGAUACUGCCCGGACUCCUACGGGAGGCUGCAGUCGAGAAUAUUCCCCAAUGGACGAAAGUCUGAGGGAGCGACGCCGCGUGCAGGAAGACGCCCUUCGGGGUGUAAACUGCUUUUAAUGGGGACGAACAAAUGACGGUACCCAUUGAAUAAGAGGUUCCUAACUCUGUGCCAGCAGGAGCGGUAAUACAGAGACCUCAAGCGUUAUCCGGAUUUAUUGGGUGUAAAGGGUCUGUAGGUGGCUUUUUGCGUCUUUUGUCAAAUCUUGAGGCUCAACUUCAAGGCUGCGAGAGAUACGGGAAAGCUAGAGGGUGGAAGAGGUGCACGGAAUUGCCGGUGUAGUAGUAAAAUGCGUUUAUAUCGGCAGGAACACCAAAGGCGAAGGCAGUGCACUAGUACAUACCUGACACUAAAAGACGAAAGCGUGGGGAGCGAUGCGGAUUAGAUACCCGCGUAGUCCACGCCCUAAACGAUGAAUGCUAGAUAUUGGGAGUAUCGACCCUCCCAGUGUCGUUCAAACAAGUUAACACGUUAAGCAUUCCACCUGGGGAUUACGGCCGCAAGGCUAAAACUCAAAGGAAUAGACGGGGAUCCGCACAAGCGGUGGAGCAUGUGGUUUAAUUCGAUGGUAAGCGAGGAACCUUACCAGGGCUUGAACUUUCAGGUUGUAGUUUCCCUUAACCGGGAAGCGACCGUUAAAUCGGAACCUGAGAGAGGUGAUGCACGGUUGUCGUCAGCUCGUGGCGUGAGCUGUAUACUUAAGUGUCGUAACGAGCGCAACCCCUAUCCUGUGUUGUACUUUCACAGGAGACUGCCCUCCACUUUGAACACAAGUUCAAAGUGGAACAAAGAAACAAAAGAACAAAAGGACAAAGAAACAAAAAAGUUUCUUUGUUUCUCUGUUUCUAUGUUUCUCUGUUCAUACUUUGUUCACUUGCGAGCAGAGUGGAGGGAGGAAGGUGGGGAUGACGUCAAAUCAGCGUGUCCCUUAUGUUCUGGGCUACACACGUGCUACAAUGGCCGGUACAAUGGGCUGCCAAGUCGUAAGACGGAGCCAAUCCCAAAAAACCGGUCUCAGUUCAGAUUGAGGUCUGCAACCCGACCUCAUGAAGCUGGAAUCGCUAGUAAAUGCGUAUCAGCCUCGGCGCAUUGAAUACGUUCCCGGAUCUUGUACUCACCGCCCGUCACGCCAGGAAAGUCGGAAGCACCUGAAGCACCAUUUACGUGGUAUCAAGGUGAAGUCGAUGAUCAAGGCGAAGUCGUAGCUGCAAACUGCAGUUGUUGCGACCUUCUCGAGUAAUCGAGUUGAAAAAUCUAACUAUAUCGGUGAACCCUAAAGCAAAAUGCUAAGGCAAUACCGAGGGAAGCUUUCCGAGUAAAUAUGGGAAACCAAAUUAUGUAUCAUCUCGCGCGCAGCGCAAUAAACCUAACCGAUCAUCAACGUAAUAUUAUCGUUGGUACGGUUCUUGGAGACGGAUCAUUAAUUGAGACUGCCUCAAAAAAUAAUUUCUGUCUUCAAAUUGAUCACUGCAACGCACAAAAAGAAUAUGUGUUUUGGAAAUAUGAAGCAUUAGACUUACUCGUCCCAACACCGCCGAAAUACCAAUCAAAAAAUAAAUCAUGGCGGUUUAGAACAAUUAGUCAUCCGGAAUUAACGGAAAUCGGCAAACUAUUUUACCGAAACCGUAUAAAAGUGGUUCCAAAGGAGAUUGCUUCACUCCUCACGCCACUUGGUCUUGCGGUAUGGUUUAUGGAUGAUGGAGGAAGACAUCCAACCGGAUAUCUUCUAAAUACACAAUGUUUUACCAAAAAAGAGUUAGCUCUUCUCCAAGAUGCGCUCUUCCGUGUAUUUAACAUCAAACACACAAGCCUACACAAGAACAAAAAUGGAUGGCGACUUUACAUCAAAGCAGCAUCAAGGCAACAUUUCAGAAAAAUUAUUGAGCCUUUUAUGUUGCCACAAAUGAUGUACAAAUUGGAAAGCCCUGUAGAGACUACACGUUAGCUCCUGGUUUUCUCACCAGGAUGAAGAUAUAGUCCAUGCACUUGGAAACAAGUGAAAAAUCAUGAACAAGGCACGGCUAGCGGAAGCUGGUCGUGGAUCACCUCCUU